AACCCAGGACUGUUCAGCAGAGGUUUCCAUGAUAAGUGGUGUCUGUUUUCUCUUAUUCUUUUUUUGUUCUUUUUUUUUUUUUGUUUUGUUUUUUAAUUUGUCAGU